ensembl:lncRNA
GUGCUGCUUAGUGGGGAAGGCUGUUGAGUAGAGCUCUCCAUCAUUAUGCCCUAUGCUCAAGCAUCUGAAGAAAUCUUUAUGUGCUUCUGUGCCCAACAUGAGAACUUUGAUCCUCAAGUGGCCCAAUUAACUGUGCAUUGCUCCAUUGCUGCUGCUUUCAAAGAAAGGACUAUCAUAUAUUAGGAAUCAUUAUUCAAGAUCAAUUUUGAUUGUAACUUAAAAGACCACAAGGUAUGCCUAAUAGUUUCGCUACUGUAUUUUUAACAAGCAGAUCAACACUUGAAACAUGAAAGGGGUUAUUUCAGUCAAUAAAUAAGACAUGAUACCCAUUUUUCUAUAUGGGGUGGGAGUGAGGUAGGAAAUAAAAAUAAAACAAUACUUGAAAGUUGAGAUAGACAUAUAAAAACUUAUAUAUACACAUUGUUGUAGCGAAGGUUUACAAGGGAAUAGACUUAAUACAGGACACAUAAUUUAUGGGAUUAUUUUAUAAUAUUCACCCCCCAAAAAAUCAAAUGCAGAAGCAUGCAAGAGAUCUGUCAGUGGAUUAGAGACCCAAAGAAGACAGCUGAGGGCCUGGAUCCCAAGGCAAUGUCUCAUGCAAGUUUGUAUCAAAGAUCUACACUGGGAAGGACAAAAGCCCAGUGGAGAAGGCUAGAAAGUCUGUUCCAAUGGGGUGAGGGAUCUGUGCUAACAGGCUGGGGGAUCUGCACUGGAUCCAGGAAAUGAUGCUCAAGGCAAAGACCAGAGCUCUCCCAGAAAAGAACAGCAACCAUCCCAGCAAGGAGUGGAGCUCCUCUGAUGAUGAGAACCGCCAAGUUCCUAUCUGGAAAACCAGCCACAACAAACCUUCUCCUGAGAAAUUAGCAGCAAGAAAUCUUCCCCUCCUGUUCUCCUUUUAUGCUGUUGACAACAAUCCUCAGGUGGGUCUUCCAUGGCCAGAACUAC